rnacentral:rRNA from 1 species
CAUACUGCAGUCGAGCGAACAGACAAGGAGCUUGCUCCUUUGACGUUAGCGGCGGACGGGUGAGUAACACGUGGGUAACCUACCUAUAAGACUGGGAUAACUUCGGGAAACCGGAGCUAAUACCGGAUAAUAUUUCGAACCGCAUGGUUCGAUAGUGAAAGAUGGUUUUGCUAUCACUUAUAGAUGGACCCGCGCCGUAUUAGCUAGUUGGUAAGGUAACGGCUUACCAAGGCGACGAUACGUAGCCGACCUGAGAGGGUGAUCGGCCACACUGGAACUGAGACACGGUCCAGACUCCUACGGGAGGCAGCAGUAGGGAAUCUUCCGCAAUGGGCGAAAGCCUGACGGAGCAACGCCGCGUGAGUGAUGAAGGUCUUCGGAUCGUAAAACUCUGUUAUUAGGGAAGAACAUACGUGUAAGUAACUAUGCACGUCUUGACGGUACCUAAUCAGAAAGCCACGGCUAACUACGUGCCAGCAGCCGCGGUAAUACGUAGGUGGCAAGCGUUAUCCGGAAUUAUUGGGCGUAAAGCGCGCGUAGGCGGUUUUUUAAGUCUGAUGUGAAAGCCCACGGCUCAACCGUGGAGGGUCAUUGGAAACUGGAAAACUUGAGUGCAGAAGAGGAAAGUGGAAUUCCAUGUGUAGCGGUGAAAUGCGCAGAGAUAUGGAGGAACACCAGUGGCGAAGGCGACUUUCUGGUCUGUAACUGACGCUGAUGUGCGAAAGCGUGGGGAUCAAACAGGAUUAGAUACCCUGGUAGUCCACGCCGUAAACGAUGAGUGCUAAGUGUUAGGGGGUUUCCGCCCCUUAGUGCUGCAGCUAACGCAUUAAGCACUCCGCCUGGGGAGUACGACCGCAAGGUUGAAACUCAAAGGAAUUGAGGACCCGCACAAGCGGUGGAGCAUGUGGUUUAAUUCGAAGCAACGCGAAGAACUUACCAAUCGACAUCCUGACACCUAAGAUAGAGCUCCCCUCGGGGGACAAAGACGGGCAUCGUCAGCUCGGUCGUGGGGGUUAAUCCCACGCUACUCUUAUGGCUAUGACUCAGGGGUACGUACAU